rnacentral:rRNA from 1 species
UACAGAGGUCCCAAGCGUUGUUCGGAUUCACUGGGCGUAAAGGGUGCGUAGGUGGCGAGGCAAGUCGGAUGUGAAAUCUCGGAGCUCAACUCCGAAACGGCAUUGGAAACUGCUUUGCUUGAGGGUUGGAGGGGGGACUGGAAUACUUGGUGUAGCAGUGAAAUGCGUAGAUAUCAAGUGGAACACCAGUGGCGAAGGCGAGUCCCUGGACAACUCCUGACACUGAGGCACGAAAGCCGGGGGAG